UACCUGGUUGAUCCUGCCAGUAGUCAUAUGCUUGUCUCAAAGAUUAANCCAUGCAUGUGUAAGUAUGAACUAANUCANACUGUGAAACUGCGAAUGG
rnacentral:rRNA from 1 species